rnacentral:rRNA from 1 species
UACGUAGGGUGCGAGCGUUGCCCGGAUUAUUGGGCGUAAAGGGCGCGUAGGCGGCCACGCACGUCCGUUGUGAAAUCGCCCGGCUCAACUGGGCGGGGUCGGCGGAUACGGCGUGGCUGGAGCAAGCUAGGGGCAAUGGAAUUCCCGGUGUAGUGGUGGAAUGCGUAGAUAUCGGGAGGAACACCAGAGGCGAAGGCGGCUUCUGCCUGUAACUGACGCUGAGGCGCGAAGGCUGGGGUAGCGAACAGG